AGGGCUGGGGUGGCAGGGAGGGGAUGCAGAAGGCACAUGCCUGAGAAGUCAGCUGAAGACCUGGGUUCCCACGUGGCUGGUGCUUCCGUGUUUGCAGCUGGCCUUCUGGGUGUUCUGGCACACGUUUCUGAGACUAGACUGGGCUGAUUUCAAGGAGAUCGGUAGGAGGAGGAAAUGCACAACCAGAUUUUGCUAAGGAAAAAAGGAGAUGUCCGUAGUGAGGGCUCUCUGCUCAGAUUUCAGAGAAGGAGCCUCGGGGAUGGGAGGAUAAGGGCUCACCUUACAGGGACAGACUCUAUGGCCUUCCCUGAGGCCUCUAAACUCCAGCCAGCCAUGGAGAGCAGAAGGUUCAUCUUUAAUUGGUACCAGUUUUUCUGGCAAGCUCAAUUUAAAGAUGCAGCUCAGUUGCAAUCAACAGAAUAAGCCAACCAGAAAAUCACUUGCUUCUUUUGGUGCAGUGAGGACCAUCAGCAACCCCAAAGGCACCAGAACGUUUGCAGGCCUUCAUCAGGGAAGAGUCUCUGCUCCUCUGUCCUCAGCAUGGACUAAGGUAGUCUCCACCUCGGAGAGCACCUCCCAGUCCACCCAUUCCCCACAGUACUCUUGGUAAGGCAACAGCUUUCCGAGCUGUCAUUGAAAGACACUGGGCCGAAGUGAGAAGGCCUGGGCGCUAGUCUCGUGUCUGCUACUGCCUGCUGGAUGGGCAUGGGCAAGUCACUUCUCCUGGAGUUGCCGUUUUCUCUCCUCAAAAGGGAAGGGGAGCGGGGACUAAGCCGUGCUGCACCUAAUUUACAGGGUGAUUAUGAAGCUAAAAUAAGAUAAUGGAUGUGAAAGCUGUUUUUGUACAUUACAGGACAUUGAGCAGAUGCUCAUCUCUCAGGGUAACGGUGAUGAUGGCAAUGAUGGUAAUGGUGGCUGAGUUACUCUUUAUGUGCAACGCCUGUAAAUAUCACACUGAGAGAUGAAUUCCUGGUUUUAAUGGCCUAACUGUAUCCACUUCAUUCACCCCUGGGUUCUCACCCUGGCUCUGAGGGAUUCAUGUUUAGCUUUGUGAGAGAGUUGGAAUGGAAUGUCUCAGAGCACCCUUCUCCCUCUGCAGGGUCUAGCAGUCCCUCUUACAUGUCCUCCUCUAAGCAUCAGGGAAUUGCAGCGUCGAUACCCACAUUGAGGUUAAGUUCUGUCUGGUUUCACCUGGAAGAAGGGAGCAGUUGGUGACCUUCAAUGUCUUUGCAAGGUAUCAGGUGCUAAAACCUAGAAAAUGCUUUUAACACCCCAACUACCUACCUACUCUUACUCAAGCCAGAAAGAAAGGACUCAAAGACAGGGCUAGGUGGGUCACACCUCUAUCUUGAGUAUGACUUUGUGUGUUUAUGUGUGUGUGUGUGUGUUUACACAUAUGGUGGGUAAACUUCCAUGAAUUGCAAUUCUGGUUCUGAGAGUCUGUAUUCUGCCUAACACUUACCUUUCUCCAUAGAAUAUCCAACAGUCAAAAGAUUAUUUUAACUGUUACUAUUCAAAAUAAUGUCCAUUUAUGCCUCUCUUAGGACAUUAUUUUGUAGAAAGGAAACUGAGGCAAUGAUAAAGUAAGUUGAUAAUGGUUACUGAGAGGAUACGCUGGGCAUGAGGGAUCAUAAUCCCAAAUCACCAACGUCUCAGACCUUUUCUUAACACACGGAGGGGCCAGUGCCCUUGUCUGAAGUGAGCUUACAGCCUGAUCCUAGGUGCAGACGGCUGCUGUUUGCUGCAGAGUGACAGAGCAGAGGGAAGGUAGCUAGGUGGGUUCUUUAGCCAGUCUUAGACUCUUAGAAUCUUAGAGCUGGAGGGAUCACUGGGUUUCAAGGGACCUCCCUGUGUUUACCACCAAAAACCUUUCAAAAGCCAUCCUUCAUGCUGGCCCACAUUUAGAACAAUUUUGUAUGAAGAAAACUAAAUAUGUUAAAAAUUUAUUUUCCUGUGAUUUAUUAAAGAAAUAUAUGACUGCUGAUAGGGGUUUCUAAUGAACAUGAGAGUCCCAGUUUAUGGAAUCUACACAAUGCUAGUCAAAAGCAAUGGAAUUGGGCUCUUUAGCCCAGUCAGCCCCUUCGUUGUGAAAUGUACAUUUCCAUCAGGCCAUUUGAAAUCACAGAAACCAUUGCUAUCUUUGAGGACUUCUGGUAGACUUGGGCCCAAAAGUUAGAGCUUCUGAACUAGACUGACUAUCACCAUUUUUCAGAUGAGGAAAGUGGAGCCCAGAGGGAUAAGUGGCUUGUCCACAGCCACACAGAGCAUUGGUAGCAGGUCUUGGACUAGAAGCAGGUCUCGGACUAGAAGCAGGUCUCCCAUUCUCUUCCCUGGCUCCUUUCUUCGGCACGUGGACACCCUGUUAGUUCUUACGCUGGAAAGCAGGAGAAGCACAUAGGACCUUUUCACAAAGCCUCAAUUGUCUGGACCUGCUGAUGCUUUUACAGACCAGGCUGUUAUAGUGAACCCCACGUUUCUCUUCAAAGAAUCAGUAUGUUCAGCUCUUUUAUUCUUUAAAUCUCUAUUUUAAAGUUUAACUUCCUUGUAAUUCCAGUAAACAAACUUCUCCACCGGUUCUUAUCAGUAAUUCACAUCUGUUCCCCCUGCCCCCUGCA